rnacentral:rRNA from 1 species
CCUACGGGGGGCAGCAGUGAGGAAUAUUGGUCAAUGGGCGCGAGCCUGAACCAGCCAAGUAGCGUGAAGGAUGACUGCCCUACGGGUUGUAAACUUCUUUUAUAAAGGAAUACAGUGAGGCACGUGUGCCUUUUUGUAUGUACUUUAUGAAUAAGGAUCGGAUAACUCCGUGCCAGCAGCCGCGGUAAUACGUAGGAUCCGAGCGUUAUCCGGAUUUAUUGGGUUUAAAGGGAGCGUAGAUGGGUUGUUAAGUCAGUUGUGAACGUUUGCGGCUCAACCGUAAAAUUGCAAUUGAUACUGGCAGUCUUGAGUACAGUUGAGGUAGGCGGAAUUCGUGGUGUAGCGGUGAAAUGCUUAGAUAUCACGAAGAACCCCGAUUGCGAAGGCAGCUUACUAAACUGUGACUGACAUUGAUGCUCGAAAGUGUGGGUAUCAAACAGGAUUAGAUACCCCUGUAGUC